GAAACUAUGAAAAACUGUGAAAGAAAGUCUUAGCGCGUUCACCUCCCGCACUCCUACCAGAACUACACUCGCACCCGCAGGGACGAAAGCAUCUCUGACUUUAUUCGGUAGUAAGUCCAAACGGUGCUAAGAGAAACCCAGGAAGUGGUGGUGACAAGACACUGAGAACUAGGAAGGAGAUGAAAAACUCACCAACCGAAGCAUUGCAAACACUGGGACCUCGCAGAGAAGAGUAGCUGACCAGUGGCAGAACUCCAGUGUUUCUGGGUCUCAUGACCGAAUCCUAUCUAAAUAUCGCACCACUGAGUCUUUACAGUUAAUCAAGUCUUAAGAG
ensembl:lncRNA